rnacentral:rRNA from 1 species
CUAAGGCGAGGCCGACAGGCGUAGUCGAAUGGAUGAACGGGUGGAUAUUCCCGUACCGACCAUGGACCGGCAAAACCGAGACGGUGAGUACUAACCUCCGCCUCGUGGUGGUUCCUUCCUUCGGGUUGGUAUCGCCGCGUGGUGUUGGGAGCGUAGCCGCAGUAGGUCAGCGCAGGGGUGACACGGAAUGGGAGCCGGCCGCGGAGGUGGUUUUCCAGUGGUCAAGCACGCAGCCAGUCAUGUAGGCAAAUCCGCAUGGCGCGCAUGGCGAGGUGUGAUGAUGGGAGCCUUUUGGGCUCGAUAUCCGGUUGUCCAGGCCGUCGAGAAAAGCCUCGGCGUGAGGGCCAUGGCCGCCCGUACCCCAAACCGACACUGGUGGUCAGGUAGAGAAUACCAAGGCGAUCGAGCGAAUCCUGGUCAAGGAACUCGGCAAAUCACUCCCGUGCCUUCGGUAUAAGGGAGACCCGCUGGGGUGAACCGGCUAGCCCGGGGAGCUUUGGUGGGUGGCACAGACCAGGGGGUAGCGACUGUUUACCAAAAACACAGGUGCAUGCGAAGGCGAAAGCCGCUGUAUAUGCACUGACGCCUGCCCGGUGCCGGAAGGUUAAGAGGAUCCGUCAAUCCUUCGGGACGAAGCGGUGAAUUCAAGCCCCGGUAAACGGCGGUGGUAACUAUAACCAUCCUAAGGUAGCGAAAUUCCUUGUCGGGUAAGUUCCGACCUGCACGAAUGGCGUAACGACUUCCCCACUGUCUCGACCAGGAGCUCGGCGAAAUUGCAGUACGAGUAAAGAUGCUCGUUAAGCGCAGAAGGACGAAAAGACCCCGGGACCUUUACUAUACCUUGGUAUUGGCGUUAGGCGCGGAUUGUGUAGCAUAGGCGGGAGGCUUCGAAGCGGGUGCGCCAGCAUUCGUGGAGCCGCAAGGUGAAAUACCGCUCUGUUCUCGUUUGACGUCUAACCUCGACAAGUCAUCCUUGUCAGGGACAGUGCCUGGCGGGUAGUUCAACUGGGGCGGUUGCCUCCCAAAGAGUAACGGAGGCGCUCAAAGGUCCGCUCAGCCCGGUUGGCAAUCGGGUGUCGAGUGUAAUCGCACAAGCGGGCUUGACUGCGAGGACGACGGUCCGAGCAGGGACGAAAGUCGGAGAUAGUGAUCCGGUGCCGGCGCACGGGCGCGGCAUCGCUCAACGGAUAAAAGGUACCCCGGGGAUAACAGGCUGAUCAUUCCCAAGAGUCCAUAUCGACGGGA